UACGGAGGGUGCAAACGUUGCUCGGAAUCAUUGGGCGUAAAGCGCACGUAGGCGGCCUGUUAAGUCGGAUGUGAAGCCCUGGCUCAACCCAGGAAGUGCAUACGAAACUGGCGGGCUUGAAUAUGGAAGAGGGUCGCGGAAUUCCCGGUGUAGAGGUGAAAUUCGUAAGAUAUCGGGAGGAAUACCGGUGGCGAAAGCGACUCUCUGGACGGCAACUGACGC
rnacentral:rRNA from 1 species